ensembl:lncRNA
GCAAAAUAAGGCUGACUGAGCACUUAUCUGGGCAUCGACCGAGCAUCGGUGACUUAGCGUUUACUAGGCGGAGCUACCGACGUGCCUAAAGCGAGCAGCCUUAAGAUACUCCCAGAAAGUGAAUGCCCCAGCCCUGCCCUGGGCGAGGCUCUGCCCCUGCCGAGGACAUCUGAGGGACUGCAGGAGGAAUCAUCCCAAGAGGUCCCGCUGGCCCAUGGCUCAGCUUUCUGUGUAAAGUAUGCCCCGAUGAUGAAGAAGAAGAAAACCAGCUCAGCCCAGAUUAUUCCAUUAAACACAGCCUCUGGUCACUGGAGAGAAGCGGAAGCACAAAGUCGGGUUCACAGAUCUGUUGCACACAGAGACUGUAUUGAGAGUCGUGUUAAAAAUAUCUGGGUGACUGUAAGCCUGAAACCAUUUUGUGUCUAAAACUGAUUUCCAUUUCCUUUUCCUUUCUUUUGUUUUUGUUCCACUUGUUAUAAAAAGGCCUUUCCACAACCCUCCACCAUGGUGCUCCGCACUCAGCUCUUCUAAGGUGCUUAUAAAAAAUGCUUUUAAUGGUACAACGCGUAGACAUCUUUCAACGUGUCUCUCGAAUCGAGGGCACUUUUUCGUCCAUCCUGGGCUGAUGGAUCACUGGGA